ACUUCCGGGUCUGGGGGCAGCGCGGCCGGCAGCGGGAGCGAUGGGGGGGGUCUCCAGGCGAGAACUUUGAGAGGCUGGUCCCUGGAGUCUCUCUGCAAUUUAAGUGCUACUUGUUUGGAAAUGUUGGAGGGAGGAGAGCUGAAGAAGGCCGAAACCGAGGGAAAUUAUACUAAUCUUUCUGCAAAAGAACUUGUCUUUGCCUAACAGUCACAGCUGAAGAGGCCCAGCAUGCUUCUAUUCAUGAGACGUGGAGAAACAGGAAAGGUAAAUGGCUCCUUAGUCAAAUCAGGGCAGUUAACUACAGAGACCUGGACAUCAGCAAAGUUAUCCUUCAGCCCCUUUUGCAGAACUGGGAAGACAAGGAAAAGGGUAAAUAACAGACCAAUCUGACAACAGCAUGCAUAGGACAGAGGAGGGAGGCACAAUGUGCAUGUCUACCACUGUUCCUCGCCGCUCAUCCACACACUGUUUAUGAAGCUCCGUGAGCAUAGAAUCCUGGUGGACCCAUCAGCAAGACUCAAAAGUCCCUGGAUUCCACAGUGUUGGUAGAAUGUGCAUGUAGCAAAAAGUAAAAUAAAUACGGCUCAGUUCUGUGCACUUUCCACUGUUCAGGUAAGAAAGAAAUACAUAUGCUUGUAUGAGCUAUGAAAUACGAAUUAGGAAGUUUCAGCAAUUCUCCAUGAGUUAAAUGUUUUAUAUUUAUAUUUAAAACUGGCACUGCACAAUAUAAAGAAUGGUAAAAUUUAUGCUAAUAAUACAUAUUGUUAAUUUUUCCUUAGAAUGACAUUAAAUAAGUUAAUGCUACUAACCAAUAAUAGCAUAAUUAAUAAUAGCACGGUUAAAAUACUAUUAAUAAUUAAUGGAAAGUUAAUGUUCAUUAAAACACCAUGAUAAGUCAAAAAAGAUAUUACAAAAGAAAGGAGACAGCUUAUAUUUUAGUACCUUUUAUGGCACCUUUCCCCUGCCUUUAGAAGAAAGGACCCUACUUGUUCUUUUUGUACUGAGCCUCACGGCCUUCCUAGCCGGUGCCUGCUCCCAAAUGCGGCAGCGAGUGACAGACGCGUGGUGCCUGUCCUGGAGCCUACACUAGUUUCUAGACUGCAAGUGCCUAUAGCAGUGGGCUUUUUGUGCUGUUAUUAUUCAAUAUUUAGAGCACAAUUGAGUAAAGAAACCAGAUUACUUUCAAGUUCUGUCCAAUCCCAAGAUAACACUAAUUAUAAACUAAGUCUAGGCAGCUUUGUUGGUUUAUCAUGUGAUCCAAGAUAUCUGAAAGUGGACAAAUCAAACCAUGUCAUUCCUUCUUAUAACUAUGGGGGAAAAACCCACCACAACUAAACUAGUUGAGACUGUUUCUGAACAGUAACCGUUCAAAGAAUUAAGGGAGAAAAAACUCGAAAAGAAAAUGCACCGCUGGUGUCUCGUGAUAUGUUAACCUGCUCGUGGGAGGCUGACCCUUAGCGUAGAGCGAGUGAGCCAACAGGGCAAGUCCAGGGGUGGAGGGGACUGGGGUGCUGUGCAGUAACUGUGGCCUCCCGUGCAAAGGUUACACGUUCUGACUCACGGACAAAGCACGAUCCUUUCGCAGUUUAACACAGAAGAGAUUUUCAAAGGCAAAAGUAGACAUAGUAUGACAAAAUUCACCCAACACCAGACACACAGACUCGUACACAGCCCAACGCACCCGGGACCAGGAUUUACUAAGUCAGAUCAACUCAGCAAGUGCGAAACCACCGGAAACAAAUCAGAAUGUUCCCUUGCAGUGCAGUUCACAUCCAUUCCGUUCACUUGACCCCACAGAAUUUGUCAUUUGCCGAAAUGUUCUUGGCUAUUGCACUUACCUAAUCGGUUCGGGU